GACGAACGCUGGCGGCGUGCUUAACACAUGCAAGUCGAACGGAAUCCAUGUGGUGGUAACACCGCGGAAGAUUUAGUGGCGAACGGGUGAGGAACACGUGAGGAACCUGCCCCAAACUUUGGGAUAACAGUUGGAAACGACUGCUAAUACCAGAUGCCGUUACUUUGUCGCAUGGCGAGGUAACGAAAGUUUUUCGGUUUGGGAGGGCCUCGCGGCCUAUCAGCUUGUUAGUGAGGUAAUGGCUCACCAAGGCAACGACGGGUAGCUGGUCUGAGAGGAUGAUCAGCCACACUGGGACUGAGACACGGCCCAGACUCCUACGGGAGGCAGCAGUGGGGAAUCUUGCGCAAUGGGCGAAAGCCUGACGCAGCAACGCCGCGUGCGGGAAGAAGGCCUUAGGGUUGUAAACCGCUUUCAGCAGGGAAGAAAAUGACUGUACCUGCAGAAGAAGGUGCGGCCAACUACGUGCC
rnacentral:rRNA from 1 species